rnacentral:miRNA from 1 species
UGUGUGUGUGUGUGUGUGUGUGUGUGUGUGUGUGUGCGCGUGUGUGCGUGUGUGUGUGUGUGUAUACACACACACACACACAUAUAUAUACAUACAUAUACAUACACACACACACACACAUACACACACACC